rnacentral:rRNA from 1 species
CCCAGACAGCCAGGAUGUUGGCUUAGAAGCAGCCAUCAUUUAAAGAAAGCGUAAUAGCUCACUGGUCGAGUCGGCCUGCGCGGAAGAUGUAACGGGGCUAAACCAUGCACCGAAGCUGCGGCAGCGACACUGUGUGUUGUUGGGUAGGGGAGCGUUCUGUAAGCCUGUGAAGGUGGCCUGUGAGGGUUGCUGGAGGUAUCAGAAGUGCGAAUGCUGACAUAAGUAACGAUAAAGCGGGUGAAAAGCCCGCUCGCCGGAAGACCAAGGGUUCCUGUCCAACGUUAAUCGGGGCAGGGUGAGUCGACCCCUAAGGCGAGGCCGAAAGGCGUAGUCGAUGGGAAACGGGUUAAUAUUCCUGUACUUGGUGUUACUGCGAAGGGGGGACGGAGAAGGCUAUGUUGGCCGGGCGACGGUUGUCCCGGUUUAAGCGUGUAGGCUGGUUUUCCAGGCAAAUCCGGAAAAUCAAGGCUGAGGCGUGAUGACGAGGCACUACGGUGCUGAAGCAACAAAUGCCCUGCUUCCAGGAAAAGCCUCUAAGCAUCAGGUAACAUCAAAUCGUACCCCAAACCGACACAGGUGGUCAGGUAGAGAAUACCAAGGCGCUUGA